rnacentral:lncRNA from 1 species
GUUCGGGGUUAAUGAAAAACUAGUUAUUCCAAGAAUAGAGUUAAGUUUAGGGUUAAGGUGGUGUUAGAGUAUUUUUGUGUUUGGUUGGGGAUUGGAGUUAGUCCAGAAUAGUAAAAAAUAGUGUUUGGUUGGGGUAGGUUGAAUUAUUAUGAAUAGAAAAUAGUGUUUGGUUGGGGUUUGGUGAGGUUAGGUGGGGUUAGCUAACCCGGGAUAACCCAUUUGAGGUGGGGUUAGCUAACCCCACCCAUUUUUAGAAGUGUUUGGGGGAUAAAAUAGGGGUUAAGGGGUUAUUCC